rnacentral:rRNA from 1 species
AUUGAACGCUGGCGGCAUGCCUUACACAUGCAAGUCGAACGGCAGCACGGGAGCAAUCCUGGUGGCGAGUGGCGAACGGGUGAGUAAUAUAUCGGAACGUGCCCAGUCGUGGGGAUAACGUAGCGAAAGCUACGCUAAUACCGCAUACGCCCUAAGGGGGAAAGCGGGGGGACCGAAAGGCCUCGCGCGCAAGGAGCGGCCGAUGUCUGAUUAGCUAGUUGGUGAGGUAAAGGCUCACCAAGCCGACGAUCUGUAGCUGGUCUGAGAGGACGACCAGCCACACUGGGACUGAGACACGGCCCAGACUCCUACGGGAGGCAGCAGUGGGGAAUUUUGGACAAUGGGCGCAAGCCUGAUCCAGCAAUGCCGCGUGCAGGAUGAAGGCCUCGGUUGUAACUAGCUUUGUACGGUAACGAAACGGUAGAGCUCUAAUACAG